AUUGAACGCUGGCGGCAGGCUUAACACAUGCAAGUCGAGCGGGGUGAUGGUGCUUGCACUAUCACUUAGCGGCGGACGGGUGAGUAAUGCUUAGGAAUCUGCCUAUUAGUGGGGGACAACAUCCCGAAAGGGAUGCUAAUACCGCAUCCGUCCUACGGGAGAAAGCAGGGGAUCACUUGUGACCUUGUGCUAAUAGAUGAGCCUACGUCGGAUUAGCUAGUUGGUGGGGUAAAGGCCUACCAAGGAGACGAUCUGUAGCGGGUCUGAGAGGAUGAUCCGCCACACUGGGACGGAGACACGGCCCAGACUCCUACGGGAGGCAGCAGUGGGGAAUAUUGGACAAUGGGGGGAACCCUGAUCCAGCCAUGCCGCGUGUGUGAAGAAGGCCUUAUGGUUGUAAAGCACUUUAAGCGAGGAGGAGGCUCUUUUGGUUAAUACCCAAGAUGAGUGGACGUUACUCGCAGAAUAAGCACCGGCUAACUCUGUGCCAGCCGCCGCGGUAA
rnacentral:rRNA from 1 species